rnacentral:rRNA from 1 species
GAUCAUGGCUCAGGAUGAACGCUGGCGGCGUGCCUAAUACAUGCAAGUCGAACGAGGUAGCAAUACCGAGUGGCAAACGGGUGAGUAACACGUAGGUAACCUGCCCUUAAGCUUGGGAUACCCAGAGGAAACUUUGGCUAAUACCGGAUAACAACAGAGAAGGCAUCUCUUUGCUUGAAAGGCCCCUUCAAGGGUCACUUAAGGAUGGACCUGCGGCGCAUUAGCUAGUUGGUGAGAUAACAGCCCACCAAGGCGAGGAUGCGUAGCCGAACUGAGAGGUUGAUCGGCCACAUUGGAACUGAGACACGGUCCAAACUCCUACGGGGGGCAGCAGUAAGGAGUUUUCGGCAAUGGGGGAAACCCUGACCGAGCAACGCCGCGUGAGCGAUGACGGCCCUAUUGGGUUGUAAAGCUCUGUUGUAAGCCAUGAAUGACAGCUUGAGGAAAUGCAAGUUGUUUGACGACAGCUUACCAGAAAGCCACGGCUAACUACGUGCCAGCCGCCGC